CUUCAGCUGACGAUUCCCGAAUGAGACGAAACGCGCGUCCUGAAU
rnacentral:hammerhead_ribozyme from 1 species